AUUAGAAUUCCCGUUAGAAAAAAGCAUCACUCCCAUUAACCGCCUCACUGUCUAGUCUCGAUUUCUCCGGCUGCGACGACGCCUCCGAUUCCGGUUGCUCAUCGUGGCUCCAGGCGCCGCCGACGUCGAAGCAAUCUCCGGUUUAGUUCCCAGCGGCGCGUUACUGAGUAGUAGUGUUGGGGGCGAAGUUGUAGUUUGUGAUAAUGCGUGCAAAUUAAGCAACAAAAAAUGGGUGUAGGUGAUUAGGUGUAUUAUGGAGUUUUAAUUUGUUAAAUUUCUUGUCGGUAUUGUCCUUUUCCCUUGUUUAUUUGUAUUUUCCUGCUAUUUUGUGUUCCUUUUUGGAAUUUCAGUGUCUUUGUUGCAUGUCAGUGUUUAUUUAAAUCGACGAGGCGGGAUACACCGUAGACCUCCUCACGGACUCACCGUCUGAUUUCGGUGCCGCCGAUUCUCUCCGAGCGGCUCUCCAGAAUCCACCAAGCUGUCGUUGCAGCGGUGGACUGCCAUGGACUUCUCGGCCUAACUAAGUUGUUUCCAUUAAUUUUCCAGUUUAUAAAUUUUAUCUUCCUGUUUGGCUAGAUAUGUUAGGGAGUUAGAUCUGGGUCAUGAUAUAUGGGCUCUCAUCUUGAUUUGUGAAGCUAUUAAACUUAUUGUGAUGUCCAAACAUUUUUGGGUUGAAAGAGAAGGUCAUCCCUUGUUUAUUUGUAGAUUGGUGUUAUUCCUUUGAGCAUUUCUCUUAGAAUUUGGUCUCAGCCAUUUUGCAAGCUAGACCCACUGACUGACUCUAUUUCUCUCUCGAUUUUGAUGUUGAAACAGUUGUGUGAUGCUGGAACUGUAGUUUGUUGGGAACUCUGCAGAGGUUAAAUCUUCAAUUUCUUGGCUUGUUGUAUUAGGGAUGUACUCGUAGAAAUUAAUAGGGUUGUUCUAAAAGUUGAUGUUUAUGUUACAGAUAUUGUUAUUGGUAUUUAUACUUCGGAAUGCACAUGUUGGAAUUACACGAUUAUUGCAGGUUGACAUGGAAAAAUAUGCAAGGAAUCUUCCUCUUCACCUUAUUGCAGUGAUUAUGGAUUGGGAAAUGGACAAAUCCACAUUCAAGUAUUUGCUAUGUGGAAUUCUUCUCUUGCAUUCCAUGUUUCAUCUUGCCUCUCGGGUGCCCAAAAUUGAACCGCUUAUCGGAAGUCAAACUGUAUUAUCUAUCAUCGUAUCAAGCAGACGACACCGGUCUAAUUUUUAUAUUGCUUGAUGAUGUGAAGAUAUCAGAACAACUGAUUGACCUGGUCUUCUAUCUGCUAGUUCUACUUGGUCCAUACAGACAUCUUGUAUUAUAAAAUUGUUUCUCCA